AAUGAGCACGGUGAGAUGAAAGAACGGAAAAGAUUUUAUUAUUUCAAGUCUUGUUUGUUUCGUCAUGUUCAAAGGGGCUACCUAAGCUGCCGGAGGAGAAGGGUCCUUGAUGGAUGUACCCAGCAGUAUGGACUUGCCAGGCAAGUGCAAUCUGUUAGAGAAGAGUGUGCGCCACCAUCGCAUCUCGCCAUCCCAGCUUCCUGUCUGGCCAUGUAGCCUCUCCCUCUUGCCAUCUUCCAGCCGUUUUUCAUCCACCACGAUGCUGUAUAGCCACAGAGAACCCUCACCAGAGAGGAUGUAAUUCUGUUUGGACUUUUUGCUUCUAACCUUGCAAGUUCAACACACUUCUUUUCUUGAUAAAGUACCCAUCCAUGGGUCUUUUGUUUUAGCAACAGAAAAUGAGCUAUUAUUACUACUGGUGCUUUUGCUUGUGGGGUGUACGUGGGGCGUAUUUAUUGCAAGUAUUUUCCCUGGGUCUUCAGAAGUCUAAAGU
rnacentral:lncRNA from 1 species